AUGAGUUUAGAUUUAGAAUACCUUGAAACCCUAUUAAAUAGAUAUAACCUUGCUUGUUUUUCAGAGAGAGAAACAGAAGCCAAGAGAAAUCCAAUGCUUGGCCACAGAAUCAAUGCUCGUUCAGUGAUGGAGUCUAGCUUCUCUCUCCGUGAUGGCAGGAUUCUCCAGACAAAAGCUGUAGAGUCUAAGUAGGAGUCCUUUCCCUGAUUAUCCGGGCUCUCCUGUGAAAGGUAAUUAAUCCAAGAAUCUACAGUCAUCUUAUAUUUGACAAAGGAGUUAAAAUAAAUCUCUGGAGCAAGGACA
rnacentral:lncRNA from 1 species